rnacentral:rRNA from 1 species
AGUGAACGCUGGCGGUAGGCCUAACACAUGCAAGUCGAACGGCAGCACAGUAAGAGCUUGCUCUUACGGGUGGCGAGUGGCGGACGGGAGAGGAAUACAUCGGAAUCUACUUUUUCGUGGGGGAUAACGUAGGGAAACUUACGCUAAUACCGCAUACGACCUACGGGUGAAAGCAGGGGAUCUUCGGACCUUGCGCGAUUGAAUGAGCCGAUGUCGGAUUAGCUAGUUGGCGGGGUAAAGGCCCACCAAGGCGACGAUCCGUAGCUGGUCUGAGAGGAUGAUCAGCCCCACUGGAACUGAGACACGGUCCAGACUCCUACGGGAGGCAGCAGUGGGGAAUAUUGGACAAUGGGCGCAAGCCUGAUCCAGCCAUACCGCGUGGGUGAAGAAGGCCUUCGGGUUGUAAAGCCCUUUUGUUGGGAAAGAAAAGCAGCAGGUUAAUACCCCGCUGUUCUGACGGUACCCAAAGAAUAAGCACCGGCUAACUUCGUG